AACGGGUGGUAAUGCCGGAUGCUCCAGUUGAUCGCAUGGUCUUCUGGGAAAGCUUUCGCGGUAUGGGAUGGGGUCGCGUCCUAUCAGCUUGACGGCGGGGUAACGGCCCACCGUGGCUUCGACGGGUAGCCGGCCUGAGAGGGCGACCGGCCACAUUGGGACUGAGAUACGGCCCAGACUCCUACGGGAGGCAGCAGUGGGGAAUAUUGCACAAUGGGCGCAAGCCUGAUGCAGCGACGCCGCGUGAGGGAUGGAGGCCUUCGGGUUGUAAACCUCUUUUAUCGGGGAGCAAGCGAGAGUGAGUUUACCCGUUGAAUAAGCACCGGCAAACUACGUGCCAGCAGCCGCGGUAAUACGUAGGGUGCAAGCGUUAUCCGGAAUUAUUGGGCGUAAAGGGCUCGUAGGCGGUUCGUCGCGUCCGGUGUGAAAGUCCAUCGCUUAACGGUGGAUCCGCGCCGGGUACGGGCGGGCUUGAGUGCGGUAGGGGAGACUGGAAUUCCCGGUGUAACGGUGGAAUGUGUAGAUAUCGGGAAGAACACCAAUGGCGAAGGCAGGUCUCUGGGCCGUUACUGACGCUGAGGAGCGAAAGCGUGGGGAGCGAACAGGAUUAGAUACCCUGGUAGUCCACGCCGUAAACGGUGGAUGCUGGAUGUGGGGCCCGUUCCACGGGUUCCGUGUCGGAGCUAACGCGUUAAGCAUCCCGCCUGGGGAGUACGGCCGCAAGGCUAAAACUCAAAGAAAUUGACGGGGGCCCGCACAAGCGGCGGAGCAUGCGGAUUAAUUCGAUGCAACGCGAAGAACCUUACCUGGGCUUGACAUGUUCCCGACGGUCGUAGAGAUACGGCUUCCCUUCGGGGCGGGUUCACAGGUGGUGCAUGGUCGUCGUCAGCUCGUGUCGUGAGAUGUUGGGUUAAGUCCCGCAACGAGCGCAACCCUCGCCCCGUGUUGCCAGCGGAUUAUGCCGGGAACUCACGGGGGACCGCCGGGGUUAACUCGGAGGAAGGUGGGGAUGACGUCAGAUCAUCAUGCCCCUUACGUCCAGGGCUUCACGCAUGCUACAAUGGCCGGUACAACGGGAUGCGACGCGGCGACGCGGAGCGGAUCCCUGAAAACCGGUCUCAGUUCGGAUCGCAGUCUGCAACUCGACUGCGUGAAGGCGGAGUCGCUAGUAAUCGCGAAUCAGCAACGUCGCGGUGAAUGCGUUCCCGGGCCUUGUACACACCGCCCGUCAAGUCAUGAAAGUGGGCAGCACCCGAAGCCGGUGGCCU
rnacentral:rRNA from 1 species